rnacentral:lncRNA from 1 species
CUAAAUUUUGCUCUUUCUCUUUUCUUCCUAUAUAGGAUUCUCCUGUCUCUCAUGUUCUUUGUCUUUUUGUGUUAACACAAGCUUAUAGUAUCAUAUUGUAACAGUUUUGGGUCACAGAUGCAUUGCUUGUCAAGAUUCAAAAUCCCAUGAAAUCCACCUGCUCUUUAUUUUUGGCAAAAGAUGUGGGAACAGAACAAUCCUAACAACAUGAUGGUAA